AAGUCGAACGGUCCCGCAAGGGAUAGUGGCGAACGGGUGAGUAACGCGUAGGAAUCUACCUCUGGGAGGGGGAUAACAGCUGGAAACGGCUGCUAAUACCCCAUACAGGCGCGAGCUGAAAGGAGCAAUCCGCCCAGAGAUGAGCCUGCGUCGGAUUAGCUAGUUGGUGGGGUAAUGGCCUACCAAGGCGACGAUCCGUAGCGGGUCUGAGAGGAUGGCCCGCCACACUGGGACUGAGACACGGCCCAGACUCCUACGGGAGGCAGCAGUGGGGAAUUUUCCGCAAUGGGCGAAAGCCUGACGGAGCAAUACCGCGUGAGGGAGGAAGGCCUUCGGGUUGUAAACCUCUUUUCUGGGGGACGAA
rnacentral:rRNA from 1 species